AUGGAUUCGGUCAAUGGAGGACACCAGUGAGUCGGUCGCUGGUUUAAACUUUCAGUAGCCCAAAAGGGGUGAGUUUAGAUCAAUCCUGAGUAUUGAUAAAUGACUCUCACAAGUUUUCUGCAACUAGAACAAGUUUGCAGGAAGAGAAGAGAGGAGAGAUAGGUUUGAAACAGAAGAAACCUAAUGACAAAGAGAUCACUCUCUAAGUAGCCCAGGAAGGGGGUAACUCCUGCAGCUAGAACUAUGAAGACAGGUCUCAUUGAUGGUAGAAAUCAAAUCCCUAAAGCCCACUGUUCCUGAAACAUGAGAGACUGUUCGUGGACUUUUGGAACUGGAGUGUCUUGAAGGAAGGAAGAAAUUGAACAGAAGACAACAAAGAUGCACCAGUGCUCUAACAUAAGUUAAAGCUUGAAGAAGGAAAAUCUCCACACAUCCUCUAAGCUUGUUAAGGAGGAACAUGAAACCAGAGGACUUCUAAACGGCACUUGAUAAGAGACUUCUCUUAACAUCAAAAAGAAGAAAGACAAUGGCUGGUGUGUUUUUUACAGCAGCAAAUCAACAGAGCCUGUCCCCACCAUCUGGGCCAUGUCAUUAUCUUGCAGCUAUGGUUGGGCAGUAGGUACAGGGGCCUGAAGUGACACGCCACCAGUUAUUUCUUAACCACAUUCUACAGCCCUAAUCUGACCCUUUUGAGCACUUUGCUCUACGAUGGACUUUAUUUUGUUCUGCUUGUGUUCUUUCUUGCAUAAUUGUGUAUCAGUUAUGUUUUAUUUAUGAGUCACUUGUAAAUGCCGUCUCUCUAAUGCUAUUUAUCUGUGAUGCUGUGGCAAGUGUGUUUCUCACUGCACCCGUACGUACAUGUACUUGUGCAUAUGUGCAUUGUGGUGUAUUAAAUUUGUAAAUUAUUUGCAAGAUGGAAGUCCGAACAGUUCCAAAUGACAUUUUCACUCUUUGUGGACUUGUAAGGUAUCUAUACAAGUUAAACACCGUAAGUUUGAUAAUUAAUGUCUGACGUUUGUUGAUAGUCGUUCGAUUCAUGGUCUUGCCCAGCCUUAGGCACCAGUGGCAUGAGAAUGUCUGUCGAUGAACACAUAAGACCAUAAGACUUCGGAACAGAAUUAGUCCAAUCAGCCCAUCGCCUCUGCUCCGCCAUUCCAUCAUGGCUGAUCCUGGAUCCCACUCGACCCCCUACACCCGCCUUCUUGACAUAUUAUUUGAUGCCCUGAUGGAUCAGAAAAUGAUCAGCUUCCGCCUUAAAUAUACCCACAGACCUGGCUUCCCCCGCAGUUUGCUGCAGAGCAUUCCACAGUUUUACUAUCCUCUGGCUAAAAAAAAAUCGUCCUUACCUCUGUUCUAAAGAGUCACCCCUCGAUUUUGAGGCUGUGCCCUCUAGUUCUAGAUACCCCCACCAAUGGAACCAUCCUCUCCACAUCUAGUUCUUUCAAUUUUCAGUAGGUUUCAGUGAGAUCCCCCUCAUUCUUUUAAAUUCUAGUGAAUACAGACCCAAGCUGCCAAACACUCCUCAUAUGUUAACCCUUUCAUUCCUGAAAUCAUCCUCGUAAAUCUCCUCUGGACUUUCUCCAAUGACAACAUAUCCUUUCUGACAUAUGGGGCCCAAAACCAUUAACAAUACACCAAGUGCAGCCUGACUAGUGUCUUAUAAAGACUCAGCAUUUUCUCCUUGUUUUUAUAUUCUACUCCACUUGAAAUAAAUGCCAAUAUUGCAUUUGCCUUCUUUACCACAAACUCAACCUGUAACUUAACUUUCUAGGAGACUUGCAUGAGGAUUCCCAAGUCCCUCUGCACCUCUGAUGUUUGAACCUUCUCUCCAUUUAGGGAAUAGUCCGCACUAUUGUUCCUUUUACCAAAAUGCAUUAUCGUACAUUACCAACACUGUAUUCCAUCUGCCAUGUUUUUGGCUAUUCUUCCAAUUUGUCUAAGUCCUGCUGCAAUCGCAUUGCUUCCUCAGCACUACCUACCCCUCCACCUAUCUUCAAACCAUCCGCAAACUUUGCCACAAAGCCAUCGAUUCCAUUAUCUAAAUUAUUGACAAACAAUGUGAAAAGUAGCGGUCCCAAUACUGACCUCUGAAGAACACCACUAGUCACUGGCAGCCAACCAGAAAAGGCCAAGCUAUUAGUUGUUUGAAUGAAAGAAACUAGGCUGAAUUAGUGGCAUGAGAACAAUAAAUUGGGUGAUAAUAAAUGAGGCUUAAGUUACUUUGUUGUGUUUGUACAUUUAUUACCACAUCUCCUGGACACACAAAUUGUUUAGGUCUUUUGGGUCUGAUCAACCGAGCCCAUUACAAUAUGACAAUAAAGUCACUUUCACAAAAAAAGUCCUUAUUGGAACAAAAUACCGAGGAGCUGUUAUGCAUGGGACUCCAAGGUGGUAGGUAGUGUCUUGUGACGCUCUGUGGAAAUUUGGCAGACGCAAAGAAUUAAGUGAUGAGGCAUAGAAGGAAAUGGUCAUUAGUCAGCCUGAAGUAUAUUCUCUCUUAAACCUAUUAUCCUCCAUCUUGUUAGUACACCAGAAAAUAUACAGUAACUGGGUGUCAAUCAGCCAAACAUAAUAAAUUAAUGUUGGCAGACUACUUAAAGUCCAAUAGUGAAUCCCACCAGAUGUUCCAAAUGAAUGGAUUGAAGCAGACAGCAGAGGGAUCUGGACAGGUUUGGACUCCAGUCUCAAAUAGAUGGGAGGCACCUUGAUUAAAAAGACGCUUUUAGCUGAACUCA